rnacentral:rRNA from 1 species
AUUGAACGCUGGCGGCAGGCCUAACACAUGCAAGUCGUGCGGAGCGGCGGACGGGUGCGUAAUGUAUGGGGCUCUGCCUGAUGGAGGGGGAUAAAUACUGGAAACGAUAGCUAACACCGCAUACCAUCAUAUGAACCCAUAUGGGAUUAGCUUGUGGGUAAGGUAACGGCUUACCUAGGCGACGUUCACUAGAUGGUCUGAGAGGAUGAUCAGUCACACUGGAACUGAGACACGGUCCAGACUCCUACGGGAGGCAGCAGUGGGGAAUAUUGGACAAUGGGUGAAAGCCUGAUCCAGCCAUGCCGCGUGUGUGAAGAAGGUCUUCGGAUUGUAAAGCACUUUAAGUUGGGAGUCGUUACCAACAGAAUAAGCACCGGCUAACUUCGUGCCAGCAGCCGCGGUAAUAC